rnacentral:tmRNA from 14 species
UCGGAUUCGACGCCGGUAUCAACACCUGCGGUGCAUGCCGAGAACGUAAUGAUUCUCGUAAAUCCCUCAUUACAACUUUAUAGUUGCCAACGACGACAACUACGCUCUAGCAGCCUAAGAGCUUGCUAGCGAUUGCCUCUUGGAUGUCCGUAAACUGGAGUUUGCAAUCGUCAUAUAGAACGGAAUCGCCAGUGGAGCGCGCUUGACGCGAAGCGGCUAAAAAGUAUCAAGCUCGCCCAAAUCACCCUGCCCGUCGGGCGGAUACGGGUUAACUCAAUAGACGACGCUAAGCAUGUAGAGCCAAUGGCCGCGAACUGACGGACGGGAGUUCAACUCUCCCCGCCUCC